GCAGAGGUACUCAAGUGGUCCAAGAGGGAGCACUCGAAAUGCUUUAGGCCGGUUCCCGGUGCGUGGGUUCGAAUCCCACCCUCUGCG
rnacentral:tRNA from 1 species